AAAUACGUGCACUACAUAUGCUACCUAUUGUGUGCGAGAAGGCCACGUCGUCUCUGAUGCAGAACCGAACGUAAUUGACAGAUAGUGAGGAGACUGUUUGUGUCUAACACACUGAUAAGGGAUACCCUGCGGUUGUCAGAAGGGAUACAGUGCUGUUGCCAAAGUGGUUGCUGCUUGUGCUGUCGAAAAAAAGUUGAUUCCUGCAGUGGACCAACGGAACCAUGGAUAGAAAAUAUGUCAUAGCAAUUGCUGUAUGUGCGACUGUGAUAGUCGUCAUCAUCGUCAUCGUCGUUGUCGUCGUGGCUCUGUUAAUCAGACGUCGGAGGAGGGUUGUUCGAGUUAUAAAUAUCCCCAUACCCUCACCAGCAAAUUGCAGGAGGAAAAGCAAUGAUGAGGACAACCCGCCUGGAACCACUGACGGAUCAGGCAGUACUGUGGAGGAGA